rnacentral:rRNA from 1 species
GCUCCGGCGCCAGAGGAUGGGUCUGCGGCCUAUCAGGUAGUAGUGGGUGUAGCGUACCUACUAGCCUACGACGGGUACGGGUUGUGAGAGCAAGAGCCCGGAGAUGGAUUCUGAGACACGAAUCCAGGCCCUACGGGGUGCAGCAGGCGCGAAAACUUUACAAUGCCGGCAACGGCGAUAAGGGGACCUCGAGUGCCAGGUUACAAAUCUGGCUGUCGUGAUGCCUAAAAAGCAUUGCAUAGCAAGGGCCGGGCAAGACCGGUGCCAGCCGCCGCGGUAACACCGGCGGCUCGAGUGGUAACCGUUAUUAUUGGGUCUAAAGGGUCUGUAGCCGGCCGGAUAAGUCUCUUGAGAAAUCCAGCAGCUCAACUGUUGGGCUUUCAGGAGAUACUGUUCGGCUCGAGGCCGGGAGAGGUGAGAGGUACUUCAGGGGUAGGGGUGAAAUCUUGUAAUCCUUGAAGGACCACCAGUGGCGAAGGCGUCUCACCAGAACGGACCUGACGGCAAGGGACGAAAGCUAGGGGCACGAACCGGAUUAGAUACCCGGGUAGUCCUAGCCGUAAACGAUACUCGCUAGGUGUCGGCCACGGUGCGACCGUUGUCGGUGCCGUAGGGAAGCCGUGAAGCGAGC